GGCGGGUUCAUCUAGAUGGACCAGGAUAGCGCCCUUUCAAGGCGUUCACAUGGGUUCGGAUCCCAUACCCGUCA
rnacentral:tRNA from 1 species